UACCCUGUGGGUGCGGGUAAGAUUGAAGGAAGCGAAACAGAAACCAGCUCAGCUGGCCUGGUCUGCUCUUCAAGAACAGACAGACUGGGACAGCAAGGUGUCCGUCAGGUCAACAGUGUCCGAAGAUGCUACAUCACCUAUGUUCCAGUGCAAUCAACUACUCUGGAGUCCCAUGAAUCUUCUCACAAAGCACGUCA